rnacentral:lncRNA from 1 species
GUGAAAGUGAAGAAUUCAUUCAAGCUUGCGCCGAAAGCUGCUUCUCCUCCCGCUCCAGUGAAGGCUCCAGCGAAGGCUUCUUCUGUUGCCGCCGCCAAGCCUAAAGCGGCGGCGGCUUCCAAGCCUGGUCCCAAGCCUGCAUCCAAACCUAAAGCCAAACCAGCUGCCAUUACGAAGAAGGCCGCUGCCAAACCUAAAGCCAAAACUGCCCCUACUUCUGCAAAGCCGAAGCGGAAGACAAAAGCGAAGGCUCCGGCGAAGAAGGUUGCUGCCAAGCCGGUGAAGAAGACGCCAGUUAAAAAGCCGAAAAGCGUGAAGUCUCCAGCGAAGAAAGCAGCGGCG